GACGAACGCUGGCGGCGUGCCUAAUACAUGCAAGUUGAGCGAUGAAGAUUGGUGCUUGCACCAAUUUGAAGAGCAGCGAACGGGUGAGUAACGCGUGGGGAAUCUGCCUUUGAGCGGGGGACAACAUUUGGAAACGAAUGCUAAUACCGCAUAACAACUUUAAACAUAAGUUUUAAGUUUGAAAGAUGCAAUUGCAUCACUCAAAGAUGAUCCCGCGUUGUAUUAGCUAGUUGGUGAGGUAAAGGCUCACCAAGGCGAUGAUACAUAGCCGACCUGAGAGGGUGAUCGGCCACAUUGGGACUGAGACACGGACCAAACUCCUACGGGAGGCAGCAGUAGGGAAUCUUCGGCAAUGGACGAAAGUCUGACCGAGCAACGCCGCGUGAGUGAAGAAGGUUUUCGGAUCGUAAAACUCUGUUGGUAGAGAAGAACGUUGGUGAGAGUGGAAAGCUCAUCAAGUGACGGUAACUACACAGAAAGGGACGGCUAACUACGUG
rnacentral:rRNA from 1 species